UGGACCUGCUGGUGUUUGAUAAUUUGGUUCUUAGCAGAUUUUCUAUGCUUAUUAUAUCUAAAGCCUAAAGGUGCCCAUGGCAUAGGUUUGUCAUGCUGGGACUUUCAUACCUUUGUGUAUACGGCGAAGCUAGCCACUCAAGCCCGCUCAAGGAACAUAGCCAAUUUUAUCAGGAUAUAAGCAACACCCGCCCCUUGGAUAACUAUCAACAACCGGUGCCUACUGAAUGCCAUUGUUUUUUCAGCGGAGGUCAGAGCUGCACGGAUACCCAUGGAGGUUGACGAAGAGGUCGGGGAUGAGGGCGUCAGCCUACUUGAAGUGGAGGAGAGAGUCCCCAG